UACAGAGGAGCCAAGCGUUGUCCGGAUUGACUGGGCGUAAAGCGCACGCAGGCGGAUGCGCGCGUGGGGUGUGAAAUCUGGCCGCUUAACGGCCAGGCGCCAUCCCAUACGGCGCGUCUGGAGUGAUGCAGAGGUCGGUGGAAUUGCCGGUGUAGUGGUGAAAUGCGUAGAGAUCGGGAGGAACAUCAGUGGCGAAGGCGGCCUUCUGGACCAGUACUGACGCUGAGGCACGAAAGCGUGGGGAGCAAACAGG
rnacentral:rRNA from 1 species